CGGGGCCGGCGGAGCCACUGCCGCCGGCAGAAGUUGGCGACAAACGUGUGGUCGCCGUGGCUGCAGCCGCGGUUUUCUUUCUAUUUCUGCUGCAGCUUCCUGUCCUUGACCCAACGAUACAUUGUGAAGUUCUCCGGAGUCAAUGAAUCCUGGUAAAAUGCAGUAAAGGAUUUAAGGUUAUCAUCUGUCUCCCUCUAACUUCUGACAUCUCUUUAUAACAAGAAAGAGUCACAGCCAACUGUAACAGGAGGGCAACACAAUGAAUCCUGGUGCCAAAGACCAUCUGGAUCCUUCAGUUAUGCCUAGUUGUGCCUGAUGUCUUACUGUUGAAAGAAAUGGGGUGCAGCAGCAGAUGCCAGCAAAGUAAAGGUGCCUACACAGUGCUGUUUGCAAAGCAGGGUGUUUUAUGAGAGCAUGGAACUGCAUGUCACAGCAUCUUUUCUCCAUGGGUUGAGACUGUUGUAACACUCCAAACUUCUGCUACCCACAUACCCUCCACUGCAGUAAUUCUUUGGUACUGUGGAGACUCGGUCAUACAGUGCUGAUCAGAUCAUGUGCCACCUGUUAUGUCCACUAGUAUAUGGGAAUAUAGCAAGGAAAAGAGAAUAACAAAGCUUUAGUGGUGUGGUGUCCCUCACAGUCAGUGUAGUAAGUUAGAACAAACUGCAAAACCUCAGAGCUAUUUUCCUCAGCAGGUCAGCAUUCAGGGAGACCCAGAGCACAGGGAGAGUUACUGCCACUAUUCCCCCCCUUCCCCAGACUGGCAUUCUGGUCAAAGUUAAUGAUUCAUAAGAUUCUGCACUGAUUUCACUGUGAGCUUCCACAUUUGCAUAAGUAAAAGCUUCUGCAGCUUCUGUAGGGAAAUUCUUAGUGAAAUUGCAGCACAAAACAUUGAUAUUAUGUAAUUAUAGUAGUUCAUUGUAACUUAAAUGAAAUUGUUACUUUAAACUUGCUCUAAGUGGCUCACAAUGGAACUUUGUAUGACACACCUACAAAACAAAUGAGUUAAUCACAAUAUGUGUCAUUUUUAAUUUUUCUCUUUCAUUUUUCUUUCAGUCAUUCUCUCUUUGUAAUUAGCAUGAAGACUACCCUUCAGUCAAAACUAGCCACCUGGAAAGUUUCAGCUUGUAAUAUGCAGCUUUUUUUGUGAAUUAUGAAUGUGCUAAAGAAGAGACCUUUCUCCCCACACCCACUUUCUUGCAUAAUUCAAAUAUGAAUGAAUGAAUUUUAUUCAGGCUUGCCAAAAAAAUCAUAUUUCAGCUGAUAACAAGCAUGAAAAAUUUCACAUGAAAGGGAUUUUUUUUUUAAAGAAUAUUCCGAGCAUGGGAGAACAGCAGGUUAAGACAGAAGUCUUAGUGCAGCCUUAAAUAUAACAAUUGUUAGCAAGCAAAUACUAUAUCCAAGCACUAAAUUUUGCUUUGUGCUGCCCUGAUGCACAGUAGUGGGGACAGAACAGAAUAAUAAAAGCUGGUCCCCUUAUGCAAACAGCACUUGACAGAAUACAAGAAGAAGGUGAGCCUGCCUACUGUUCUAGCUUGCUAACCAUAUUGCUAAGGUCUGUGGGUUAGUUGUCACCUAUAGCUCCAGUCAGCUGGCAAAUGUAGUUCAAACACUAGCAAGGGGCAUGUUUUUGGUCCUUUCCAGAAGAACGUUUUACCAGUUCCUUGCCUCCAAAUAUACAGUCCUAUUAAAUAAAGUAUUUGAAGGAAGUUCAUAUAGGUAACAUGAUGGUUUAACAGGUCAAAAAGGGAAUGGAAUAGUGCUAGGUUUUUUUCUGAUUAACUGUGUAUUUUGAAAAAUAUGUAUCUGUAAAGAAGGUAUUAUCUGCAUCCCUCACUUACCUUAAUGCUUUUCAGGCAAAGCAGAAUGAGAU